rnacentral:rRNA from 1 species
UACGAAGGGUGCAAGCGUUGUUCGGAAUUACUGGGCGUAAAGCGCGCGUAGGCGGCUUGAUAAGUUGGAAGUGAAAUCCCGGGGCUUAACUCCGGAAUUGCUUUCAAAACUGUCAGGCUGGAGUAUGAUAGGGGACAGUGGAAUUCCUAGUGUAGAGGUGAAAUUCGUAGAUAUUAGGAGGAACACCAGUGGCGAAAGCGACUGUCUGGAUCAUUACUGACGCUGAGGCGCGAAAGCGUGGGGAGCAAACAGG